AAUCUUCCGCAAUGGGCGAAAGCCUGACGGAGCAAUGCCGCGUGAGUGAUGAAGGUUUUCGGAUCGUAAAGCUCUGUUGCCAGGGAAGAACGUCCUUAAGAGUAACUGCUUAAGGAGUGACGGUACCUGAGAAGAAAGCCCCGGCUAACUACGUGCCAGCAGCCGCGGUAAUACGUAGGGGGCAAGCGUUGUCCGGAAUUAUUGGGCGUAAAGCGCGCGCAGGCGGUCAUUUAAGUCUGGUGUUUAAUCCCGGGGCUCAACCCCGGAUCGCACUGGAAACUGGAUGACUUGAGUGCAGAAGAGGAGAGUGGAAUUCCACGUGUAGCGGUGAAAUGCGUAGAGAUGUGGAGGAACACCAGUGGCGAAGGCGACUCUCUGGGCUGUAACUGACGCUGAGGCGCGAAAGCGUGGGGAGCAAACAGG
rnacentral:rRNA from 1 species